CGGAUCGGAGUCUGCAACCCGACUCCGUGAAGCUGGAUUCGCUAGUAAUCGCGCAUCGGCCAUGGCGCGGUGAAUACGUUCCCGGGCCUUGUACACACCGCCCGUCAAGCCAUGGGAGCCGGGAGUGCCUGAAGGCCGUGACCGCAAGGAGCGGCCUAAGGUAAAACUGGUGACUGGGGCUAAGUCGUAACAAGGUAUC
rnacentral:rRNA from 1 species